AACUAACAUUUUUACUCAAAUUGAGUUAUCACUAUUUUCCAAAUCCUCAGCAUAAAAUAUAACGAUUUUCAUUUAAAAGUUAACUUUUUUUUAUUUAUUAACCUUAAAAUUCGAAAAGAACAAAACGACCCAACUGCAUUAUCGAUAAUAUCGACCAGCUCUGUUGAUGGGACUUUUUGCUCGCCGAAGGUCUCAUCUGUCAUUUUCGAUUUUUGUUUUCAAAAUUGCACAUGGGACCUUUGGCAUGCAAGCGAGCUCUCACAGUAAUUUUGAAACUAUUUUGAGUUAAAUUAAUAAAAAUGGAUCCUACACAAGACCAAUUCCGGAUGUUCAUACAAGCAGCAUCACGUCGAAGCCAAAGAUCCGAUGGCAGCAGUCACUAUGGUAGUCAACCUACACCUCCGCAGAUAGAUGAUUCGUGCGAUGAAAAAUUCAAGCUACGGGAGAGUUGCAAAUGCCGAACCUGCACCUUCAAAGAAGGAUAAUUCAGUUUUUAAGCUCUCUAAGAGGAAAAGCGCUGAGUCACCACGGAGCUGAAAGAAGCGCACUGGAACUUUUCAAAAUGGUACGGAGACUCUACCGAAGCAGCAUGCUUGAAAUUAACUGCAGGACAGGUCAACAAUCCUUGCAAAAACAGCAGCAUUCAUCGUGUUCCGUUUCAUGAGAUGAAAAUGUCAAGCUACGGGAAUGUUGCAAAUGCCCGUACAACGGAUUGGAUUUUGCAACAGAAUCACGCAAAGUACGACAGAUGUAGGUUAACAGAUUUAUCCAACACUCGAGUCAAAAGCAGCAAUCUCUCCUCUACAGUAGCCACGCCACCCAUAUAUCGAUCUUUGAAGUCUCACUCUGUAUCCAUCAAAGGACAUGAUAAAUCACUGAGAAAACUGAUCAGUGAUUCAACGGGUACAGAAGAAAUGAUCGAUCUUGAUUCGAUUCCCAGUUACUGUAAAGAAAAUGUCGUUAAAGCAAGUCAUCAGCAGUAUCGAAAAAGCGUUAUUGAAGAAAGAGAGCAGAUCAGCCCAAGCCUGGCUUCUACAAAAUGCAAAGAACAAAUUAUAAUUUCAUUGGAUCAUCCAUACAUUAAGGUGUUCGAACUCUUAGUGCCACCCUCCAUCAUGUUCAAAGAUGCGAGUACAAGUCUAAUGUCUUCUGCGAGGUCUGUUGAUUGCAAUCUUCUUUAAAGUAUGCAAAAAAAACUGUAUGUUCAGACUUGAAGUAGAUUGAAUAUUAUCCCUCAAAUGCUUAUAUUUUGACAGAUUCGAGAAUUUCGACUACCACCAGUCUUCAACAGUAUCGUACACUCAUGUGCACUGGAUAAGUUCUCCUUUUCAGCAAUAUCAUAGACUGUACACUGCAUGCCUUUGAUACAAAAGAAAAAAGAAAAUCUACCAAAAAAUAAUUUUUUUUUUGAAUACCUCACUAUUGCCCAAUAAUUUAAAUAAUAUUUUACUCUAGUUGACGUAAAUUUGAUUUGAAUCCAUUAUUCUUUACAAACUUAAUCAACAUUUACCAGUUUUUAUUGAGUUUUACAAAUAUCCCAAGUAACAAAGGUAUUUUCAUAAAGACCCAUUUGAUAGGUCCCAACUGACAAUAAAAGUGCAAAAGGUCUCAUGUGAUAAAAAUAUCCAAAAAUAACGUAAACAUGUAGUUUUCCGCAGAAUGAACAUCAUUUUUUAAUUUUUGAGCUUUUUUCACGUUUAGAAAUGAAGUUCAAUGUCUUAUUUUAUGUUUCUAUUCUGAUUGGCAUUUGAUUUUCAUCACGAUUUUUUCGAAGCUUAUUUUCUCCGAUAAAGGCAAAAGUCUGAUGGGACCUUUUGAAAUGUUCGUCUCGAUUUACAAUAAAAUCAGGAGUGCAUAUAAAUUAGAUCUGAAAGCGUCAAUAAUCAUUAAAAAUAAUCGUCUUUCGAAGAAAAAUAUAAAAAUAGGGGGUAAGGUCUGACGGAAAUGGUCUGUUUGGCAAUCACGAACCGCGGAUCCAUUUUCACCGACGAAACAGUUCACUUUUCGACCCGAUCGAGUUUGUUUACUUUCACACUCAACGAUCGUACACCGAGCCGGUCGCGAAUAUGCUCUUCUUAUUCUUCACCUCUUCCUCACUCUCGGAGGGGCCCACGAGGCGGAUCACCAAACAAAAUGGCUCUUCGACGCCAAAUGUUUUCCAACACUUUUUCACUCCGAUCCGGCUGGGCACAUCACCUGACGGAUAGUCACGGCUACGCAGCGGAAAAGUCAGCGAAUGGAUUCGGGAGAAAAAGUAAAUUAAGGCACUCGCGAUUA